GCCUCUGAGGAUGACUAAAUCAUACUUUCGUUCUUCUGAAAUGAUCCGUGUGGAAAAUUCUUGGAGACCUGAACUGAAGAGGC